rnacentral:lncRNA from 1 species
AGAGGAUAGCCAAGCCUAGCAAGGUGAUCAAUGUAGCCUUUCAUCUUCAAAACAUGAGGACUAACUGAUUCACCUUCAGCUAUUUUGCAAUCAUGCAAUGCAAUGGUAGUUUCAUACUUAUCCUGCCUAGCUUGCUGUUGGAAAGCUUGUUUGAGAUGGACACUCAUCUCAUAAGCCUCAAGGUGCUCCAGAUCCUUCUGAAGUUUUGGGC